rnacentral:rRNA from 1 species
AAUAGCCGCAGUAUUUUGACUGUGCUAAGGUAGCAUAAUCAUUAGUCUUUUAAUUGAAGGCUGGUAUGAAUGGCAAGACGAGAAAGAAGCUGUCUCUUUAAAAUUAAUUGAAUUUCAUUUUUAAGUGAAAAAGCUUAAAUAAGUUUAAGGGACGAUCAGACCCUAUGGAGCUUAAUUUUAAUUUGUGAGUAAAUUUAUUUUUAAAAGUUACUUGCUUUAAAAAAUUUUGUUGGGGCGACAGAGAGAUGAAAAAACCACUCUUUUUAUUAAACUUAUGUUAAUGGAAAAUUGAUCCCUAAAGAAGGAUUAAAAGACUAAGUUACCCUAGGGAUAACAGCGUAAUUUUUUUGGAGAGUUCAUAUCGAUAAAAAAGUUUGCGACCUCGAUGUUGGAUUAGGAAUUUAGCUAGGCGCAGAAGUUUAGUUGUAGAGUCUGUUCGACUUUUAAAAUCCUACAUGAUCU